rnacentral:rRNA from 1 species
ACUGAACGCUGGCGGCAUGCUUUACACAUGCAAGUCGAAUGGUAACAGGCCGCAAGGUGCUGACGAGUGGCGAACGGGUGAGUAAUGCAUCGGAACGUGCCCAGUCGUGGGGGAUAACGCAGCGAAAGCUGCGCUAAUACCGCAUACGAUCUCUGGAUGAAAGCGGGGGACCGAAAGGCCUCGCGCGAUUGGAGCGGCCGAUGUCAGAUUAGGUAGUUGGUGGGGUAAAGGCCCACCAAGCCAACGAUCUGUAGCUGGUCUGAGAGGACGACCAGCCACACUGGGACUGAGACACGGCCCAGACUCCUACGGGAGGCAGCAGUGGGGAAUUUUGGACAAUGGGCGCAAGCCUGAUCCAGCAAUGCCGCGUGCAGGAAGAAGGCCUUCGGGUUGUAAACUGCUUUUGUACGGAACGAAACGGUCCUGGUUAAUACCUGGGGCUAAUGACGGUACCGUAAGAAUAAGCACCGGCUAACUACGUGCCAGCAGCCGCCGUAAAAC